ensembl:lncRNA
GGACUGUUACUCAGUACUAAAAAUAAACGAGUUAUAACUCUGUAACUUUAUAAAGCCAUGAAAAGAAAAGGAAGAAACUUCAAUGCAUUAUUACUAAAUGAAAGAAGCCAAUCUGAAAAUGUCUAUGUACUGUAUGAUUCCAACUAUAUGACAUUCUGGGAAAGGCAAAACUAUGGAGAUAGUAAAAGGAUCAGUGGUUACCUGAGGUUAGGAGGAAAGGGAAAAAAAACGUGGAGCAUGGGAGAUUUUUAGGGCAGUGAAGCUACUCUGUGUGGUACUGCAAUGGUGGAUACAUAUAGUCAUAUAUUUGUCCAAACCCUUAGAAUGUACAACCCUGAGAGUGAGCCCUAAUGUAAACUAUGGACUUUGGGUGGUAAUGAUGUGUCAAUGUAGGUUCAUCAAUUGUAACAAAUUUACCCCUCUAAUGAGGAUGUUGGUAGUGGAGGAGGUUGGUGGGGGAAGGGGUAUAUGGAAACUCUAUACUUUCUUCUCAUUUCUUGUGAUCCAACAACUGAUUUUUAAAAAAGCCUUUGGGGGAAAAGUAACUACCAUUUAUUGGGCUGUAUCUAUGCUCAAUGGGGUCUUUAUUCUGCAUAGGGACCGUGUUUCCCCACCGAGACAUCUGGAAGCAGAUCUUCAGCCUCUUUCUUUUGAUAUCAGGUUGCACAACAUGGCUGGACAUACUUUGGGAUGUAAAAAGGAAUACAGAGCAAAAUUUUUGCUGUUGGUACAGAGGCUUCAGAUCAAAUUGACACUGCCCGCUGGGAUCCCAAGAGGAUACUCAAAAUGGAGAGACUUGCCAUGGUCCCCAUUUGUGGUAAAGAAGUAAAAUACUUGGCCAGAAUCACCAAUUGCAGUUAGUGACUGAGCCAGACUCCUGAUAAUUGGUACUGCACUGUUUAAUAGCAGUAAAACAUUCAAAUCUCACCUCUCUCACCUCCUUUACAUCUUUGUUCAAAUGUUAAUUUCUCAGUUAGGCAAACCCUGAGGGUUUCAUUUAAAAUAACACUUCCUUCUCCAACCAUUCACCCUGUUCUGUGGCUCUUCACCGCAUUUACUCCUUUCUUUUCUUCUUUUUUUUUUUUUUAAUUGUACUUUAAGUUCUGGGAUACAUGUGUAGAAUGUGCAGUUUUGUAACAUACGUUAUACAAUUUCUACAUACAUUAUACAAUUUCUAGUAUGUUACACAAUUUCUAGUAUGUUACACAAUUAAAUGAUUUGUUGUGUUUCUAACUUACCCCUUGAUCCAUAAUGGAAGCUAGAGUAGAAAUAUUUUUGUCAGCUUUCUUUUCUUUUCUUUUCUCUUUUCUUUUUUUUUCUUUCCUUUUUUUUUUUUUUUUUUUUUUUUUUUUGAGACAGAGUCUAGCUCUGUCACACAGGCUGGGGUGCAGUGGCCAAUCUCGGCUCACUGCAGCCUCCACCUCCCGAGUUCAAGAAGUUUUCCUGGCUCAGCCUCAGCCUCCCGAGUAACUGGGAUUACAGGCACUCGCCACCAUGCUCAACUAAUUUUUGUGUUUUUAGGAGAGCUGGGGUUUCGCCAUGUUUGCCAGAUGGGUCUUGAACUCCUGACCUCAGGCGAUCUGCCUGCCUCGGCCUCCCAAAGUGUUGGUAUUACAGGUGUGAGCCACUGCGCUCAGCCAUUUUUGUCAGUUUUCUUCACACAUAUACAGUCCAGAUGUUUUCAAGGGUGACUGGCACUAAGUGGAUAUUUAAAAAUUAUAUUUAUUGAAUUAAUUAAAAGGUACAGCUAUUUGAAAGCAUAAGAAAAUGAAACAACACUUUUAUAGUCACAGAAUUUAGUUGGAUUUUAGAAACUAUUAAAUCGUAGCUUUUUCACUUUUCAUCAUUUUAAAAUUCCUGAAGCUAAUCAAUGAGCAAAACAUUAGUAGUACUGCUACUUUAUGUAACUUAUGUAGCACACUGAGCUAUUUGGCAAAAAAUGACUCUAAAACAUAAUAUAUGUUAACAUAUGUAAAGUGGAUAGUGACUGAUUUUCAAAACAUUAUUCAUACAUGUGUGACUUUAAUUAGGAAGCUAUAAUAGAUACACUAUGAAUUUUCAUGAAGAAAAAAACCAGCAUCUGGACUUGAGAUUCUACACAAAGAAAAAGCUGGAUUUCUUCCUUCUUUUCCAGAGUAUAUAGAACCUACAUUUCCUCCAGUUAGAAUUUUCUCAGAAAUAGCAAAAUAAAACUCUAGUAAACGCAAUAAGCUUUCACUGCCAGUUUUAACAAUGGUAAUUCAACGCUUAUAAAAAAGGACCAUGAUUCCACAUUUUUAAUUUCCUCACAGAACUAUAACCUGAAAAUAUUUUAUAUACGUUACUAUUUUGCACUUGUAGUUUUUAAAGAUACUAACUUGUUAGAAGUAUAUUUAUCUGAAGAUGUUCAUCUUUUUUGCUGUUUCUUUUAAAUUUUUUCAGCUGUAAACCUUCUGAGAUUUGAGGUUUUUAAUACUGUCAAAAAACACUUCAAGAAACAUUAUUCUCCUAAAUUUAUAGAAAAUAUUUCAAGAGAUCAUAUUAGAUAAUUUUGUAUUAGAUAUUCAUAAAGAAUUUUCUUUCAUAAAAGAAACAGAUUUUGCCAUUUUAUAAGUGCAUAGAAAAGCAGUAACUGUUUUUAAUUUACCAACAUUUCUUUUUGGCUGCUAGAACACUUAUAUCUGACUUAAUAAAAUAAUUACUAAGUGUCUUGUAAUUGUUUCUUUAAUGUAUCACCUCUCCCAAAACUUUGAAAUCACCUGGAAGACAAUAAACUGC